rnacentral:lncRNA from 1 species
CCGUCAGUCAAAGUGAGCUCCCCGCCCACCCAGUCUAUUAGCUCCUCGCCCACCCAGUCUAUUAGCUCCCCGCCAACCCAGCCUAUUAGCUCCCUGCCCACCCAGCCUAUUAGCUCCCUGCCCACCCAGCCUAUUAGCUCCCUGCCCACCCAGCCUAUUAGCUCCUCGCCCACCCAGCCUAUUAGCUCCUCGCCCACCCAGCCUAUUAGCUGCUCGCCCACCCAGCCUAUUAGCUCCUCGCCCACCCAGCCUAUUAGCUCCUCGCCCACCCAGCCUAUUAGCUCCCCGCCCACCCAGCCUAUUAGCUGCUCGCACACCCAGCCUAUUAGCUCCUCGCCCACCCAGCCUAUUAGCUCCCCGCCCACCCAGCCUAUUAGCUCCUCGCCCACCCAGCCUAUUAGCUCCUCGCCCACCCAGCCUAUUAGCUCCUCGCCCACCCAGCCUAUUAGCUCCCCGCCCACCCAGCCUAUUAGCUCCUCGCCCACCCAGUCUAUUAGCUCCUCGCCCACCCAGCCUAUUAGCUCCCCGCCCACCCAGCCUAUUAGCUCCUCGCCCACCCAGCCUAUUAGCUCCUCGCCCACCCAGCCUAUUAGCUCCUCGCCCACCCAGCCUAUUAGCUCCUCGCCCACCCAGUCUAUUAGCUCCUCGCCCACCCAGCCUAUUAGCUCCCCGCCCACCCAGCCUAUUAGCUCCUCGCCCACCCAGUCUAUUAGCUCCUCGCCCACCCAGUCUAUUAGCUCCCCGCCAACCCAGCCUAUUAGCUCCCUGCCCACCCAGCCUAUUAGCUCCCUGCCCACCCAGCCUAUUAGCUCCCUGCCCACCCAGCCUAUUAGCUCCUCGCCCACCCAGCCUAUUAGCUCCUCGCCCACCCAGCCUAUUAGCUGCUCGCCCACCCAGCCUAUUAGCUCCUCGCCCACCCAGCCUAUUAGCUCCUCGCCCACCCAGCCUAUUAGCUCCCCGCCCACCCAGCCUAUUAGCUGCUCGCACACCCAGCCUAUUAGCUCCUCGCCCACCCAGCCUAUUAGCUCCUCGCCCACCCAGCCUAUUAGCUCCCCACCCACCCAGCCUAUUAGCUCCUCGCCCACCCAGCCUAUUAGCUCCUCGCCCACCCAGCCUAUUAGCUCCUCGCCCACCCAGCCUAUUAGCUCCCCGCCCACCCAGCCUAUUAGCUCCUCGCCCACCCAGCCUAUUAGCUGCUCGCCCACCCAGCCUAUUAGCUCCUCGCCCACCCAGCCUAUUAGCUCCUCGCCCACCCAGCCUAUUAGCUCCUCGCCCACCCAGCCUAUUAGCCCCUCGCCCACCCAGCCAAUUAGCUCCUCGGCUGCUCAGUCUUUCUUUUCAGACUCCCUGGUAGUUUGA